GACGAACGCUGGCGGCGUGCCUAACACAUGCAAGUCGAACGGAAAGGCCCGGCUUUUGUGUGGUUCUCGAGUGGCGAACGGGUGAGUAACACGUGAGUAUCCUGCCCUUUACUUUGGGAUAUCUUCAGGAAACUGGGGCUAUUACCGGAUAGGAGCUCCUGCUGCAUGGUGGGGGUUUGAAAGUUGCGGCGUUUGGGGAUGGACGUGCGGCUUAUCAGCUUGUUGGUGGGGUAGUGGCUUACCCACGCUUCGACGGGUAGCCGGCAUGAGAGGGUGACCGGGGACAUUGGGACUGAGGGAGGGCCCAGACGGGAACGGGAGGCAGCGGUGGAGAACAUUGCACAAUGAGCGGAAGCGUGAUGCAGCGGCGCCGCGUGCGGAAUGACGGUCUUCGGGUUAUAAACCGCUUUCGCCUGAGACGAAGCGUGAGUGACGGUAAUGGAUGAAGAAGCACCGGCUAACUACGUG
rnacentral:rRNA from 1 species